GACGAACGCUGGCGGCGUGCCUAAUACAUGCAAGUCGAGCGCAGGAAAUCGACGGAACCCUUCGGGGGGAAGUCGACGGAAUGAGCGGCGGACGGGUGAGUAACACGUAAAGAACCUGCCCUCAGGUCUGGGAUAACCACGAGAAAUCGGGGCUAAUACCGGAUGGGUCAUCGGACCGCAUGGUCCGAGGAUGAAAGGCGCUCCGGCGUCGCCCGGGGAUGGCUUUGCGGUGCAUUAGCUAGUUGGUGGGGUAAUGGCCCACCAAGGCGACGAUGCAUAGCCGACCUGAGAGGGUGAUCGGCCACACUGGGACUGAGACACGGCCCAGACUCCUACGGGAGGCAGCAGUAGGGAAUCUUCCACAAUGGACGAAAGUCUGAUGGAGCAACGCCGCGUGAACGAUGAAGGCCUUCGGGUCGUAAAGUUCUGUUGUAAGGGAAGAACAAGUGCCGCAGGCAAUGGCGGCACCUUGACGGUACCUUGCGAGAAAGCCACGGCUAACUACGUGCCAGCCGCCGCAGUAAUAC
rnacentral:rRNA from 1 species